GAUGAACGCUGGCGGCGUGCCUAAUACAUGCAAGUCGAGCGAACAGACGAGGAGCUUGCUCCUUUGACGUUAGCGGCGGACGGGUGAGUAACACGUAGGUAACCUACCUAUAAGACUGGGAUAACUUCGGGAAACCGGAGCUAAUACCGGAUAAUAUUUCGAACCGCAUUGUUCGAUAGUGAAAGAUGGCUUUGCUAUCACUUAUAGAUGGACCUGCGCCGUAUUAGCUAGUUGGUAAGGUAACGGCUUACCAAGGCAACGAUACGUAGCCGACCUGAGAGGGUGAUCGGCCACACUGGAACUGAGACACGGUCCAGACUCCUACGGGAGGCAGCAGUAGGGAAUCUUCCGCAAUGGGCGAAAGCCUGACGGAGCAACGCCGCGUGAGUGAUGAAGGUCUUCGGAUCGUAAAACUCUGUUAUUAGGGAAGAACAAACGUGUAAGUAACUGUGCACGUCUUGACGGUACCUAAUCAGAAAGCCACGGCUAACUACGUG
rnacentral:rRNA from 1 species